GGAAUCUUGGACAAUGGGGGCAACCCUGAUCCAGCGACGCCGCGUGGGUGAUGAAGGCCUUCGGGUUGUAAAGCCCUUUCACCGGGGACGAUGAUGACGGUACCCGGAGAAGCAGCACCGGCUACCUCCGUGCCAGCAGCCGCGGUAAGACGGAGGGUGCUCGCGUUGUUCGGAAUCACUGGGCGUAAAGGGCGCGUAGGCGGCUCAGGAAGUCGGCUCGUGAAAGCCCGGGGCUCAACCCCGUAGGUGCGGCCGAUACUCUUGGGCUCGAGGCCGGAAGAGGAGGGUGGAAUACCCAGUGUAGAGGUGAAAUUCGUAGAUAUUGGGUGGAACACCGGUGGCGAAAGCGGCUCUCUGGUCCGGUCCUGACGCUGAGGCGCGAAAGCGUGGGGAGCAA
rnacentral:rRNA from 1 species